rnacentral:rRNA from 1 species
GAUGAACGCUAGCGAUAGGCUUAACACAUGCAAGUCGAGGGGCAGCAUGGUCUUAGCUUGCUAAGACUGAUGGCGACCGGCGCGCGGGUGCGUAACGCGUAUGCAACUUGCCUCACAGAGGGGGAUAACCCGUCGAAAGACGGACUAAUACCGCGUACACUCCAUCUUGGGCAUCCAAGGUAGAGGAAAUGAAAUUCGCUGUGAGAUAGGCAUGCGUCCCAUUAGCUAGUUGGUGAGGUAACGGCUCACCAAGGCGACGAUGGGUAGGGGAACUGAGAGGUUGAACCCCCACACUGGUACUGAGACACGGACCAGACUACUACGGGAGGCAGCAGUGAGGAAUAGUGGUCAAUGGGCGAGAGCCUGAACCAGCCAAGUCGCGUGAAGGAUGACUGUCUUAUGGAUUGUAAACUUCUUUUAUACGGGAAUAACAAGAGUCACGUGUGACUCCCUGCAUGUACCGUAUGAAUAAGCAUCGGCUAACUCCGUG